rnacentral:rRNA from 1 species
AUGAAUGCUGGCGGCGUGCCUAACACAUGCAAGUCGAGCGGCAGCGAGGGGUGCUUGCACCCUGUCGGCGAGCGGCGAACGGCUGAGUAACGCGUGGGAAUUUGCCCCAAAGUGAGGAAUAACUGCCCGAAAGGGUAGCUAAUGCCGCAUAUGGUCUUCGGAUUAAAGGAUUUAUCCGCUUUGGGAGAAGCCUGCGUUGGAUUAGGUUGUUGGUAGGGUAAUGGCCUACCAAGCCGACGAUCCAUAGCUGGUCUGAGAGGAUGAUCAGCCAGACUGGAACUGAGACACGGUCCAGACUCCUACGGGAGGCAGCAGUGAGGAAUCUUCCACAAUGGGCGAAAGCCUGAUGGAGCAACGCCGCGUGAAGGAUGAAGGCCUUCGGGUUGUAAACUUCUUUUAUGAGUGAAGAAUAUGACGGUAACUCAUGAAUAAGCACCGGCUAACUACGUG